rnacentral:rRNA from 1 species
GACGAACGCUGGCGGCGUGCCUAAUACAUGCAAGUCGAACGCUGAAGGAGGAGCUUGCUCUUCUGGAUGAGUUGCGAACGGGUGAGUAACGCGUAGGUAACCUGCCUGGUAGCGGGGGAUAACUAUUGGAAACGAUAGCUAAUACCGCAUAACAGUAGAUGUUGCAUGACAUUUACUUAAAAGGUGCAAUUGCAUCACUACCAGAUGGACCUGCGUUGUAUUAGCUAGUUGGUGGGGUAACGGCUCACCAAGGCGACGAUACAUAGCCGACCUGAGAGGGUGGUCGGCCCCCCUGGGACCUGGGCCCGGCCCAGACCCCUUCGGGAGGCAGCCGUAGGGAAUCUUCGGCCAUGGACGGCAGGCUGACCGCGCACCGCCGGGUUAGUGAAGAAGGGUUUCGGAUCGUAAAGCUCUGUUGUAAGAGAAGGACGAGUGUGAGGGUGGAAAGUUCACACUGUGACGGUAUCUUACCAGAAAGGGCCGGCUAACUACGUG